rnacentral:lncRNA from 10 species
UAAAGAAGGCCAAGGCUCAGGGGUUAAGUGACUUACUGGAGGUUAUCAGAGAGGAAGUUGCCAAACCCAGGCUAGGAACUGAAUGGUUGGUUUAAAUCCACCCCUCUGGCAGGAGACUGGGGAAUACACAUGAGCCGUGCAGACAGCAGAGGGCAGUCCUGGGGGUGGGGGCGCCAGAGGGUUUCCGGUACUUUUCAGGGCAAUUGAAGUUCCGGUCACUACUCCCCCCCAGAGCAAUAAGCCACAUCCGGCGACGUGUGGCACCCCACCCUGGCUGCUACAGAUGGGGCUGGAUGCAGAAGAGAACUCCAGCUGGUCCUUAGGGACACGGCGGCCUUGGCGCUGAAGGCCACUCGCUCCCACCUUGUCCUCACGGUCCAGUUUUCCCAGGAAUCCCUUAGAUGCUAAGAUGGGGAUUCCUGGAAAUACUGUUCUUGAGGUCAUGGUUUCACAGCUGGAUUUGCCUCCUUCCCACCCCACAGUUGCCCCCCAAUGGGGCCUCGGCUGGCUCACAGGAUGAGGGUUCAAGAAGAAGGCUGUCCCUGGAGGUAAGAGGGCUUAUGAACCAUGUUCCAAACCUUUGCGUUGCUUUUCUUUCCAUCGUGUCUAUUUCAUAACAUCCCUGUGAGGCUGGAUGUGGGAACUUCAGCACUGCCGUACUCUUGGGAAAUUUGUCCAAGGCCACCCGGCUGAGCAGCGGUUGAACCAGGACACCAUCAGGCAUGCGUUUCUUGUCUCCACCACACCCUCAACCCACUUCCCAACGCGCCUUGCGACAGGGGCUGCGGUAUUGCAUCCACAUGACUGAUAAACUAGUAAACACACAUGAAUUCAUUUUAAAAGUGUAUUCAAUCAGUUAGGUAAACUAAAAACCUUAAGUCUUCGUUCGAUUUGGAAUGCAGCCAGAGAACAAAUGGAAAAUUUUUCAAGGUAGAGAAGAUGAAAACUCAGAACGCCCUCUUGUGGCAUCUCUACCCACCCUAGGAACACUAUGGCUCUUCCCCUACACAUGGUGAUUGCUAACCUUGCUACAAGACGUUGGACACACACACACACACACACACACACACACACACACUGAGGUUCCUUUUGCCCCCUCACUUUUGAGCCAGUGACUACUGAAACCCUCUCCAUUGUUGCACCACCAGCAAUGCCCCCAUCACUUCCUCUCAUUUACUUCCACAGGCUGGUUCAUCCUCAAAGCCCUCCUUACGUAGAUCUGUGGGAUCAGUGAGGCUCAGAGAGGUAAAGUGGCCAGCCCAAGGUCGCCCAGACAGCAAAAGGCAGGGCCAGCGCUGAUUUCAAGUCCAAUGGCCUAUGGCAAUUUCUUAGCCAAAAGCAAAAUCUACAAAAAUAAAAAGUCAGGCACAGUGGUGAGUGCCUACAGUCCCAGCUACUGAGGAGGCCGACGGGGGAGGACCACUUGAGCUUGGGAGUUCCUGGCUGCAGAGAGCUAUGAUUGUGCCUGUGAAUAGCCAAUGCACUCCAGCCUGAGCAAGAUAGGGAGACCCUGUCUCUAAAAAAUACCUAAAUAAUUUUAAAAGUCAGCCUCUCUGACUGCCUAUAGAGAAUGCUAACUAACUGAAUGACAGAAGACCUAAUGUAAUCCAGGUGCAAAAUCAGAACUUUCCGGCCGGGCGCGGUGGCUCACACCUGUAAUCCCAACACUUUGGGAGGCCCAGGCGGGUGGAUCACGAGGUCAGGAGUUCAAGACCGGCCUGCCCAACAUGGCAAAACCCCGUCUCUACUAAAAAUACAAAAAAUUAGCUGGGCAUGGUGGUGGCCACCUAUAAUCUCAGCUACUCAGGAGGCUGAGGCAGGAGAAUUGCUUGGACCCGGGAGGCAGAGGUUGCAGUGAGCUGAGAUCGCGCCACUGCACUCCAGCGUGGGGGACAAAAGCGAAACUCUGUCUCAAAAAAAAAAAAAUUAGAACUUUCCCCGUACUCUUGCUAGGGCUUUUCAUGGAGAUGUAGAAAUGGUAGUAAGUGCCAAGGCCCCAGAACCCUCAUGUUUGGGUCCGACUCCCACAUUGCCAGAGACUAGGCAGCUCACACAGGUGUCCCAAGCUGUCUUUCUCACAGGCCGCAUUGAAGGCAUUUAUGAAAUGAGACCCCCUCUUCCUCAUCCGUAGUGACAGGGCUGGCCUGACCGUGGAGAAAUCAGAUUUGAUCAUGAUAGCUUCCACUCCGUGACUGGUCACGAUCUGCCAGGCGCUGUGCUAAACACUUUCAUAGGCCUUGUCCCCCUCCAUCCUGAUAACACCCCAGUGAAGCAGGCCCUGCUCUUCACUCCACUCCACAAAGCCAAGGCUGAGAGAGGUUAACAGACUUACCUAAGGUCACACAGCUAAGAAGUCGUGAAGCUGGGAUCGAAUCAAGUCUGUGUUUAUGGGUUUAACUAUCAUGUUGUGGCCCCAACCCCAUUUGACCUAGCCUGGCUGGUGGGCCUUCUUGCAGUAGCUUCCCCUGGAGAAGAGGAAAAGCAAACCUUCAUUGAGACCCAAGCGGUCUCUCCUGUGCUCUGUGACAAUAAUAAAGUUCCAGCCCUUG